rnacentral:tRNA from 1 species
GCCCAUGUAGCUCAGGCGGUAGAGCACACCCUUGGUAAGGGUGUGGUCGCCGGUUCGAGUCCGGCCAUGGGCU